rnacentral:rRNA from 1 species
GGGCCCGCACAAGCGGUGGAGCAUGUGGUUUAAUUCGAUGAUACGCGAGGAACCUUACCAGGGCUUAAAUGUAGUCUGACAGGGGUGGAAACACCCCCUCCUUCGGGCAGAUUACAAGGUGCUGCAUGGUUGUCGUCAGCUCGUGCCGUGAGGUGUCAGGUUAAGUCCUAUAACGAGCGCAACCCCCUGCCGUUAGUUGCCAGCAUGUAAUGAUGGGAACUCUAACGGGACUGCCGGUGCAAACCGCGAGGAAGGUGGGAUGACGUCAAAUCAUCACGGCCCUUACGUCCUGGGCUACACACGUGCUACAAUGGCCGGUACAGAGGGCAGCCACACGCAAGGUGGAGCGAAUCCUUAAACUAUAUCUC